AUUACUUGUAUUUUAUUUUUCCUAUAUUGCACAUAUGUUUGGUCUGUGCACAACAUCAUCUUUGUUGCACCUUUACCUGAGAUCACUUCCAACUCUGAGUUUGAACCAGCCCACGGCUCUUAUGGUAUUAGUACAUGUAUGAAACCCCAUCCUUUAUACAUAAUCAAUUGAAUACA